CGUAGGGGGCGAGCGUUGUCCGGAUUUAUUGGGCGUAAAGAGCUCGUAGGCGGUUUGGCAAGUCGGGUGUGAAAACUCCGGGCUCAACUCGGAGACGCCACUCGAUACUGCCAUGACUCGAGUCCGGUAGGGGAGUGCGGAAUUCCUGGUGUAGCGGUGAAAUGCGCAGAUACCAGGAGGAACACCGGUGGCGAAGGCGGCACUCUGGGCCGGAACUGACGCUGAGGAGCGAAAGCGUGGGGAGCGAACAGGAUUAGAUACCCUGGUAGUCCACGCCGUAAACGUUGGGCACUAGGUGUGGGGCUCGAUCGACGGGCUCCGUGCCGUAGCUAACGCAUUAAGUGCCCCGCCUGGGAAGUACGGCCGCAAGGCUA
rnacentral:rRNA from 1 species